rnacentral:rRNA from 1 species
AUUGAACGCUGGCGGCAGGCCUAACACAUGCAAGUCGAGCGAGCGGCGGACGGGUGAGGAAUGUAUGGGGACUGCCCGAUAGAGGGGGAUAACUACAGGAAACGGUAGCUAAUACCGCAUACUAUCGGAUAACCUAUAUGGGAUUAGCUAGUAGGUGAGGUACUGGCUCACCUAGGAGACGAUCACUAGCUGGUAUGAGAGGAUGAUCAGCCACACUGGGACUGAUACACGGCCCAGACUCCUACGGAGGCAGCAGUGGGGAAUAUUGCACAAUGGGCGCAAGCCUGAUGCAGCCAUGCCGCGUGUAUGAAGAAGGCCCUAGGGUUGUAAAGUACUUUCAGUCGGGAGGCGUUACCGACAGAAGAAGCACCGGCUAACUCCGUGCCAGCAGCCGCGGUAAUAC